rnacentral:lncRNA from 1 species
AUGGCAAGACAGCCAAUGGGCAACAUGGCGCCUUUCAGGGACGCUGGUUCUGACGUGGCUCCCUCUGAGACUACCAGUGUCUCCAGUGACACUCUGCAAACUGAAGAAGCAUCAGCUGCUGAAGUGGUUUGUAUCAUAGAAUUUUCUUCUUCUGGCCCUGGAUCCUGUGGAUAUCAGACAAAGCAGCUAUUUACCACCUAUAUGGCAUGGACGAGAAAAAGGAAAAACUAGGCAGGUAAGUGAUUUACUCAAGGUCAAUAGCUAAUACAAGCAAAGCCAAGACUUGAAUACUUCUGACUCCAAAUGGUCUCCCAUUCUACACCACAG